rnacentral:rRNA from 1 species
UAUGGUAAUUGUGCAGCCGCGGUAAUACGUAGGUGGCGAGCGUUGUCCGGAAUUAUUGGGCGUAAAGAGCAUGUAGGCGGUUUUUUAAGUCUGGAGUGAAAAUGCGGGGCUCAACCCCGUAUGGCUCUGGAUACUGGAAGACUUGAGUGCAGGAGAGGAAAGGGGAAUUCCCAGUGUAGCGGUGAAAUGCGUAGAUAUUGGGAGGAACACCAGUGGCGAAGGCGCCUUUCUGGACUGUGUCUGACGCUGAGAUGCGAAAGCCAGGGUAGCGAACGGG